rnacentral:lncRNA from 1 species
UUUUUUUUUUUUUUUUUUGGUCUUUUUGCCUUUUCUAGGGCCGCUUCUGCAGCAUAUGGAGGUUUCCAGGCUAGGGGUCUAAUCGGAGCUACAGCUAUCAGCCUACGCCAGAGCCACAGCCAUGCGGAAUCCAAGCCGCGUCUGCAACCUACACCACAGCUCACAGCAAUGCUGGAUCCUUAAGCCACUAGCAAGGCCAGGGAUUGAACCAGCAACCUCAUGGUUCCUAGUCAGAUUCGCUAACCACUGUGCCACAAUGGGAACUCCAAAUUUAACUUUUUAUUAUCAUUUUCAAUUGAAAGCUGCUGCAAUUGUCACAUCUGUCAAUAUAAUGCCAUACAUUUGCAUCAUUCUUUCCAGUUUAAAAAGCACUUUUCAUAUAUUUUCAUUUGGCCUCCCUAAUAAUGUAACACAGUUUUCCUCAUGUUAUUAAUGAAAAACUGAAGUUUAGGGAAGUAAAUGAAAUAAUGGGUUCCAAGUGCCACAGCUGUUAAAUGACAGAGCUAGGACUCAACCACGGUGUUCUAAAACACGAUUCCAUGUCUAUGACAUAUAGCAGGACUUAGAAUUUAGAUUACAGGGAUCCAAGAAACACCUGUGCUAUACCAGACAUGUAGUAAGUGUUUUCAUAUAUGCCACCUGACAUGAACUUAACAGCAAACCUGCAAUGAUCGAAGGACUGCAGAGUACUUCACUUUAUCCUAAUAUGUGUGUAUGGUGUGAAAGAGACUGUGGGAAGGGUGGGUGGAGGUGAGAAAUGAGUCCACAGAGACAAAGAUAAUUCAAUUAAUCUUUUUUAUUCCCAUUUAAUAGAUAAGAAAAGAGGUUGAAAGAGGAGAUGAGAAUAGCUAACAGGAGAAUUUUAGGUAAAAUCAAAAGUCAAAUUCAAUCUUAUUUCACAAUUUCAUAGGAGAUGAAUGGAUUGAAGGAUAGAUGGAUGGUGAAUCCACUACCACCCAAGAGCCUGCUGGGGAGUUUUCUCCACCAAGAGCAAUGAUUCAGAUCCACCUGGCUAAGCUCUUUUGAAUCCUAACAUCUGUGCUUUUAGUAAAAGAGGGUAAUAAAAUGGAACCCAAGAAAGACUUGAAGAUGAUGGAAGCACAGAUGCAAAAGAACCAGUGGGCACAGCCUCACACAUGAACAGUUACAGCAAAAUAUCCCAAGUCUGAUGGAAUUAACCUCAUGCCAACUAAGAGAGCAGCUUAAUAACUCCUCUUGUCAGAGAUUUUUCCAGAUGCAGGAAAUAAAGACAGGUCCGAGUCAGAAGAACAAUUAAACAGGUAAAAACUUGUAUUGAACAAAGAUAGAGCCCAUUCUUGUAAUUAGCAAGCCACUGGUCAUGGUUCAGUAACACAGAGAUGGUCCCAUUCCCUCUGUGAUUCACACAGUUCUCUCCCAGAAAGACUGACUGCCAGGAUAUGAGAGCUAGCUCAAAUAAUUGCAGGGUACUGCCUGCCACCCGGGCUCUCGUUUCCGUAGAGAUCACAUCUUCCCCUAAUCAGAGGAGGGUUUUCAAAUGACACCGCUGAACAGCUCUGUCUUUGACAUCUCAGGCAAAUUAAUGGGUUGGGGAGGGGGGGAUUUUGAGAAACAAGCAUAAGAAAUUAAGAUUCUAGUAGAGUUGGUUGAGUUUUCUGAGAGGGGGCCGUAAUUAUAGUAGUGGCAAGUCGGCUAAGUCUUGGCCUGCCACAUUUCAAUCAAUCCUCCUAACUACCUCCUGAGGUAGGCAGUAUUAUCAUUCCCACCUUAAAAGUAAGGAAACAUACAUGAGAAGGUUAAGAGAGGUAAAGUGAUUUGCCCAAGGUCACACAGUUAGCAAUGACAGAGACAGAAUUCAAACCUAAAUGUGUCUGGCACCAGAUCCUUCACCUAUUCACUAUUUUAUCAUGUCUAUCCUUAAGGGAAGAACUGGACAGACAUGGGCAGGAAGAUGUUUUUAAAAAGAGUAUUUUUAUUUUAUAAUGUAAAUUUGCCUAAUUAGGCAAAUCUUAACGGUGCUUCAUCCAUCAAGCCUUCUUAAAAUAUUUCCAUCGCAUCCCAGAGGGAAAAAGCUCAAUUUUCAGAUUCAUUCGCUUGCUAUCUAGGUGCUAGCAAGGGUAAUUCAUUCAUUUCAACAAUAUUAGAAGCCCACUCUUCAUCAAACCCAUGCAUAUGUAAACAUUUGCUUAAGCCAUGAGUGAUUAAAUAACUGAAUGAUUUUAUCUGCAUGAAACCAAGAAUACAACAGUCCCAAGCUGUUUGCAGUUACUAAUGAAAUGUUGUAAAUGUAAUGUUGUAAAGCACUUCAAGAGUCAAAUUUAGCUCUUGGCUUCAUUUCACCCAGUCUGCCACAAUCAUCCACACUCAUCCAUGGGACUCUAGCUAUAACAACACUUCAUCCUGGACCAGAGAUUGGAAAACUUUUUCUGUAAAGGGUCAGAUAGGAAAUGUGUUUGGCUUUGUGCGUCAGAUGAUCUUUGUCAUAACUAUGCAACUUGCCAUUGUUGCAGAAAAGGAGCCAUAUGUAAACAAAUAGACAUGGCUGGGUUCCAAUAAAACUUUAUCUACAAAAACAGGUGGCAGGCUAGAUUUGGCCCAGGGACUAUAGUGUGCCUCCCUCACAACUUCUGUCCCUGACAAAAAAAAAAAAAAAGAAGAAGAAGAAGGAGACAUCCCCUCUUAUCCCAGUCUGCUGUUUUGAUGCCCUGCCUGAGGAUCAUGGGAGGUUUUUAAAGUCACAGAAGAUCUGGGAACAAUGGUUAAUUACUGCAGAGCUGCAAACCACAUCCAAAAUUAAUAGCUAAAGUGAACUGUCAAAGAGACGAAUUUGAUCAACACAGCACAACAACCCUACACUUAUCUUCUUCCUUCAUUCUGUCCCUUUUUUGCCUCUUAUCACAAGAGGGAAAAGAAGUAUCUGCUUGAUUAUUUGGGGUUUUAAUUUAAGUUUCAUGCUGAAAUCUUGACUUUUCAAGUAAGGGACAUUUUAUACUUUUCAUUAUAGAAAAAAAACAUAACUUUUAAUAAAGGUAAAUCAAACUGCUAGGUGGAAAAAAAGCAGACCCUGUUUAUCAUAACAUCACAGGCCAUCAUCCUAGUGCUAAGGUCUCUGAUAAAGGACAAAGAGACUUGUACCAUGCCCUGUUCUCCCAUAGCAUCUUUCCUUUCCCUAGGACCUGUCUCCUGUGAGCCUUUUGGAAAAGUAGAAGAGAGAGAAGAAAUUGGAAAUGGUGGGGGAGGGAGUUCCUGUUGUGGCUCAGCAGCGACGAAACCUAUUGGCGUCCAUGAGGAUUCAGGUUCGAUCCCUGGCCUCGCUCAGUGGGUUAAGGAUCCUGCCUUGCUGUGGCUAUGGCAUAGGCCUACAGCUACAGCUCAGAUUCGAUUCCUGGCCUGGAACUUCUUGUGCCUGAAAAGACAAAGCAAGAAAGCAAGAAAGAAAGAAAGAAAGAGAAAAAUGGUGGGGAAAAUGGAACAGAUCAUGAUAGGGCAAAUUUAACUCUAAAAAUUCUUUUUUUUUUUUUUUUUUUUCUGUUUUGUCCACAUUUCUUGAGAGAGGCUAGAAAU